GUGAUUAAAUCGAGCGUGUCUUCAUUGACCGCUCACCCUUCUCACCAUCCACAUACACCUGUGCACUGUUUAACCUGAGCCGGUUUUCCGGUCCAGGUUAUCAUUUCAUACAAACUCUAGUCUUAUGAAUGUAAACGUUUUAAUAACAUAAUA
rnacentral:misc_RNA from 1 species